UACGUAGGGUGCAAGCGUUGUCCGGAAUUAUUGGGCGUAAAGAGCUCGUAGGCGGUUUGUCGCGUCUGCUGUGAAAACUCGGGGCUUAACCCCGGGCCUGCAGUGGGUACGGGCAGACUGGAGGUAUGCAGGGGGAGAACGGAAUUCCUGGUGUAGCGGUGAAAUGCGCAGAUAUCAGGAGGAACACCGGUGGCGAAGGCGGUUCUCUGGGCAUGUCCUGACGCUGAGACGCGAAAGCGUGGGGAGCGAACAGG
rnacentral:rRNA from 1 species